UACGUAGGGAGCAAGCGUUGUCCGGAAUCAUUGGGCGUAAAGCGCGCGUAGGCGGCCCUGUAAGUCCGUUGUGAAAGUCAAAGGCUCAACCUUUGAAAGCCGAUGGAUACUGCAGGGCUAGAGUCCGGAAGAGGCGAGUGGAAUUCCUGGUGUAGCGGUGAAAUGCGUAGAGAUCGGAAAGAACACCAACGGCGAAAGCACUCUGCUGGGCCGACACUGACACUGAGAGACGAAAGCUAGGGGAGCGAAUGGG
rnacentral:rRNA from 1 species